GGACGAACGCUGGCGGCGUGCCUAACACAUGCAAGUCGAGCGGGGACAUGCGACGGACAUGAAGUUUCGGAUGGAGUGAAAGAUGUAUGUUCUAGCGGCGGACGGGUGAGUAACGCGUGAGCAACCUGUCCCUUACAGGGGAUAACACAGCGAAAGUUGUACUAAUACCGCAUGAGACCACGAUGAGACAUCUCAUAGGGGUCAAAGGAGCAAUCCGGUAAGGGGUGGGCUCGCGUCCGAUUAGAUAGUUGGUGAGGUAACGGCCCACCAAGUCGACGAUCGGUAGCCGACCUGAGAGGGUGAUCGGCCACAUUGGGACUGAGACACAGCCCAAACUCCUACGGGAGGCAGCAGUGGGGAAUAUUGGGCCAAUGGGGGGAACCCUGACCCAGCAACGCCGCGUGAGGGAAGAAGGUUUUCGGAUCGUAAACCUCUGUCCUUGGUGAAGAGGAAGAGACGGUAGCCAAGGAGGAAGCCCCGGCUAACUACGUGCCAGCCGCCGC
rnacentral:rRNA from 1 species